rnacentral:rRNA from 1 species
GCAGUAGCCACGGGAAUACAGAGGGUGCGAGCGUUAAUCGGAUUUACUGGGCGUAAAGCGUGCGUAGGCGGCUAAUUGAGUCGGAUGUGAAAUCCCCGAGCUUAACUUGGGAAUUGCAUUCGAUACUGGUUAGCUAGAGUGUGGGAGAGGAUGGUAGAAUUCCAGGUGUAGCGGUGAAAUGCGUAGAGAUCUGGAGGAAUACCGAUGGCGAAGGCAGCCAUCUGGCCUAACACUGACGCUGAGGUACGAAAGCAUGGGGAGCAAACAGGAUUAGAUACCCCCGUAGUCCCUGUCUCUUAUAA